ensembl:lncRNA
AUCCCUUUUUGGUUGUUGAGCUGGUCUGAAUUGGUCUGUUUCUUCCCACCGCGUGCUUUCCUGCUUGGUGACUGAGUUUGAAUGCCUUAGCUUGAGAGUUGGCAUCCUGUGUCUUUUGCUGUCUUUUGUUGAGCAGUAGUCUCUGGCUUUUUGUUUUGGAAGUCUCUCCUCAGAUCCCAUAUGUUGACAUUUUUUCCCUGAAGUCAGCUCCGAUGAUUUUGCUCCUUUCAGACCUUGGCAAUGUGGUCCAGGGUUGAACACUAUAGAUGUCUCACUUUGAAGCUCAGUCCCUGAAUUUAACUUAGAAGACUCCAUACCUUGAAAUUUUGAAACUGAAGUUAAUUCAGAAGAGCUUGUACCUUGCAAAUGUGACCCAGGCUUGCAUCCAGUUGGAUUUACACACUGAAGUUUUGGUUCUGAAAUGAAUGCAGAAGAAUUCACACCUUGCAAAUCUGGCCCAACGCAGAGCACCUUAGAUUUUCUACCUUGAAGCUCCGUACUGGGAUUCAACUCUGAAGAUUUUUUAUCUUGCACUUGUGACCCAGUGUUGAAUGGUAUAUAAUUCACACAUUGAAGUUGUGGCCCUGGCUUCAGUUUAGAGCAUCUCCCACCUUGUAAUUUAGGCUCAUGGUUGAAUUCCAGCAAUUUCUCAUCUGAAAGCUUAGUUUCUGUGCUCAACUCAGAUUUUACCUCUUGCAACUGUGGUCCAGGAUUGAACUCUAAAGAUUGAAUACCUUGGUGACUUGUUCCCAGACUCAAAUCAGAAGAUUUCAUAUCUUGUAGCUGUUGGUCAGGAUUGAAUUCCAAAGAUUUCACAUUUUUAAGCUUUGUCCUUUUGCAUGAUUCUGAAGAUUUUAUACGUUGUGAAUGUGUCCUAGGACUGAACACCAUGACUUUUACAUUUUGAAGCUCUUCCCAUGGAUUCAACUUACACGAUUUCUCAUCUUGCUUUUGCUUUCUAGCAUUGCUCUUAGACGAUAUCCCACUGUGAAUCUUUGAUUCCAAGGCCAACUUACAGAAUUUUGCAACCUGAAAUUCUAGGCUAGGACUGACUUCUAUAGAGUUCAUCAAUUGAAGCUUUAUAGGCCCAGAAGAUUUUGCACCUUGCAACUCUGCCACAGGGUUGAAUUCCAUAGAUUUCACACCUUGAAGGUGUGCCUUUGAUGUCAACAUAGAUAAUUUUCUAUCUUGUAACUGUGGAGCUGAGUUGAACCCCAAAGAUUUCACAUCUUGUACCUUUGUACCAAGAGUCAAUUCAAAAGGUUUCAUAUCUUGCCACAUUGGCCUGGUGAUGAAUUCUAUAGAUUCUCCACUUUGAAGCUUUGUCUUUGGUGUUAACUCUGAGGAUGUCACACCUUGCAGACAUGGAACAACAGAUUUCAAAUCUUGAAGCCUCCACCCUAGCCCCAAAUCAGAUUUCUCACCCUGUCUCUGUGGUUGAGGGUUGAACUCCAGUGAUUUCACACCUUGAAGUUCCCUCUUCUGGGUUAAAUCAGAUUUCCCACAUUGUAACUUCAGUCCAUGAUUGAACUCUAAGAAUUUUUCAUCUUGAAGCUUUGUCCCUUGAAUCAAUUCAGAACAUUUUUUACUUUGUAUCUGUGGUUCAGAGUUGAACAUUGAUUGUGCUUCCUGAAGCAUUGUCCCUAAGACCGCUUCAGAAGAUUUCAUACUUUGAAAGUGUGGUCUAGAAUUUAACCCUUUAGAUUUUACAUCUUGAAGCUUUAGACCCAUAAUCAGUUCAGAACAUUUCAUAUCUUUUAAGUGUUGGCCGGAGUCUGACUCUACUGAUCUCACAACUGGAAUCUUUCUCCUCAGAGUCAAAUCAGAUUUUGCACCUUGUAACUUUGGACUAGGUUUCAGGUCUAGAG